GUAUGGCUGUUCGCCAUUUAAAGUGGUACGCGAGCUGGGUUUAGAACGUCGUGAGACAGUUCGGUCCCUAUCUGCCGUGGACGUUUGAGAUUUGAGAGGGGCUGCUCCUAGUACGAGAG
rnacentral:rRNA from 1 species